UCCCUGGUGGCUCAGAGGUUAAAACGUCUGCCUAGAAUGCAGGAGACCCAGGUUCAAUCCCUGGAUUGGGAA
rnacentral:tRNA from 1 species